CUUAACAUAAGCAUGUGCCCGAGCAAGAUCUGCAUCGUCGGCAGGAUACAAACUCCGUGCAAAGAGCUUCCGUCACACCACCUCAGGCAAUACAAUUGAAUGACAUGCCCUCAUAACGCAACAUCAUCAGCCCUAUAUGACGCCCGAGCAUGUAGCUCAUCUCCAGCCUCAACAUAAGCACAAGCCCAAGCUAGACAUGUAUCAUCGACCGGAUCCAAACUCCUUGCAACAGGGAGUGCGCAUAAGCUUCUGCGACACGAGGUCAGGCAAUACAAUUGAAUGACAUGCCCUCUCAGUGCAACAUCUGCCUAAUAACACGCCCAAGCUUAGAGCUUCUCUCCAGCCUUAACAUAAGCAUGCGCGGGUGCAAGAUUUGCAUCGUCGGAAGGAUCAAAACUACGUGCAUAGGACGCCC
rnacentral:lncRNA from 1 species